CUCCUCUGGCCUAUGCCUGAUUACUCUGCAGAAACUCCCGUGGUUUCUGCGAUCUCAGCAACUUCUGUCACAGAGGCUCUGGAAAUACUCUACCGAAAACGUUCAUGGAUGCACAAAAUGGGAUUACCUUGGCUGAAUUUUCUGAGGCUGCGUAGAGUCAUGAGACAAGUUAUGAACAGUGUGUUCUGAGCAGACAUGAUGCAUGCUGCUUUUUGGGACAAGUACUGAAUUGCUAAUGGGUGACCCUGCAGAGUUCUUUAUUCUGUCUGGCACAUCAAGGAGCUAUAUUCAAGAUGGCAGCAGCUUUGUCAGCCUGGGCCUCUUAUUAAAUACAAUGAGCAGAGAUCUCUUUGCUGAUCUGAGAGGGACAUGUAGCACUAUUAGGAAAUACAUCUUUGUUAUUACAAGGCAUUAAGAUUUUGGAGUUUUUAUUUGUUUGUUAUCACAGCAUAAUUUAGCCUAUCUUGACUAUGGUAGUGUGGGAGACCAAAAUAUCCUUCCUUCCCCAAAAUAUGAAAGAUUGUUGAGCUGGAAACAGUGAAGAAGCGGCAGAUGCAGAAAAGCUCCUUGUCCUUCAUUUGUUUGUAUAAUUAACAGGUCACAUUAUCCUAUCCUUCCCCCCUCCCAUUCUACUAGUGAGAGCAAAGUUUAACCACUGAAGACAGCUUUGGACCCUUCUCAGUUCUGAGAUGAUAAUCAGAGGAAUUUACAUUAAGAAGCUUUGCUAACUAACCACGUAACUAAUUAGUUACCUUUACUAUUUAUCUGCCAGUUAUUCACCUUCUCCCAAGUGUUGCCUAGAGACUCAAAAUCCUUUUCCUUUGUUUUAUCACUUCUCUAAAAAUUUACUGUUCUUUGCUGAAGAUGCUAUGUAAGCUGGAAUUUAAAGUCAGCUCUUUGAGAACUAUUCAUUUUCUGGGUUUCUCCUAUGUAUACACGAAAUAUACAUGUUAGUAAA
rnacentral:lncRNA from 1 species